CCUACGGGGUGCAGCAGUGGGGAAUAUUGCACAAUGGGGGAAACCCUGAUGCAGCGACGCCGCGUGAGUGAAGAAGUAAUUCGUUACGUAAAGCUCUAUCAGCAGGGAAGAAAAUGACGGUACCUGAGUAAGAAGCCCCGGCUAACUACGUGCCAGCAGCCCCGGUAAUACGUAGGGGGCAAGCGUUAUCCGGAUUUACUGGGUGUAAAGGGAGCGUAGACGGUGCGGCAAGUCUGGAGUGAAAUGCCGGAGCUUAACUGCGGAACUGCUGUGGAAACUGGCGAACUUGAGUGAUGGAGGGGUAAGCGGAAUGCCUAGUGUAGCGGUGAAAUGCGUAGAUAUUGGGAGGAACACCGGUGGCGAAGGCGGCUUACUGGACCGGAACUGACGUUGAGGCUCGAAAGCGUGGGGAGCAAACAGGAUUAGAUACCCGGGUAGUC
rnacentral:rRNA from 1 species